rnacentral:rRNA from 1 species
AUACAGAGGGCGGCCAACUUGCGAAAGUGAGCGAAUCCCAAAAAGUGCGUCGUAGUCCGGAUUGGAGUCUGCAACUCGACUCCAUGAAGUCGGAAUCGCUAGUAAUCGUGGAUCAGAAUGCCACGGUGAAUACGUUCCCGGGCCUUGUACACACCGCCCGUCACACCAUGGGAGUGGGCUGCACCAGAAGUGGUUAGUUUAACCCCUUUUCUUUCGAGAUUAGGGGAGGACGAUCACCACGGUGUGGUUCAUGACUGGGGUGAAGUCGUAACAAGGUAGCGCUAGGGGAACCUGGCGCUGGAUCACCUCCUUAUACGAUGAU